GACAGAGGGGGCAAGCGUUGCUCGGAAUUACUGGGCGUAAAGGGCGCGUAGGCGGGAUGGCAAGUCGGUCGUGAAAUCCCUCGGCUCAACCGAGGAACGUCGAUCGAUACUGCUGUUCUUGAGGAUUGCAGAGGAGACUGGAAUUCCCGGUGUAGCGGUGAAAUGUGUAGAGAUCGGGAGGAACACCGGUGGCGAAGGCGGUCUUCUGGACGGUGACUGACGCUGAGGCGCGAAAGCGUGGGGAGCAAACGGG
rnacentral:rRNA from 1 species